rnacentral:rRNA from 1 species
UAAGACAGAGGGUGCAAACGUUGCUCGGAAUUACUGGGCGUAAAGCGCAUGUAGGCGGCUCCGUAAGUCGGAUGUGAAAGCCCUCGGCUUAACCGAGGAAGUGCAUUCGAUACUGCAGAGCUAGAGUAUCGGAGAGGGUCGUGGAAUUCCUGGUGUAGAGGUGAAAUUCGUAGAUAUCAGGAGGAACACCGGCGGCGAAGGCGGCGACCUGGACGAAUACUGACGCUCAGAUGCGAAAGCGUGGGUAGCAAACAGGAUUAGAUACCCUGGUAGUCCACGCUGUAAACGAUGGGUACUAGGUGUCGCGGGUAUUGACCCCUGCGGUGCCGAAGCUAACGCAUUAAGUACCCCGCCUGGGGACUACGGCCGCAAGGCUA